rnacentral:rRNA from 1 species
AGUGAACGCUGGCGGUAGGCCUAACACAUGCAAGUCGAACGGCAGCUCAGUAAGAGCUUGCUCUUACGGGUGGCGAGUGGCGGACGGGUGAGGAAUACAUCGGAAUCUACUUUUUCGUGGGGGAUAACGUAGGGAAACUUACGCUAAUACCGCAUACGACCUACGGGUGAAAGCAGGGGAUCUUCGGACCUUGCGCGAUUGAAUGAGCCGAUGUCGGAUUAGCUAGUUGGCGGGGUAAAGGCCCACCAAGGCGACGAUCCGUAGCUGGUCUGAGAGGAUGAUCAGCCACACCGGAACUGAGACACGGUCCAGACUCCUACGGGAGGCAGCAGUGGGGAAUAUUGGACAAUGGGCGCAAGCCUGAUCCAGCCAUACCGCGUGGGUGAAGAAGGCCUUCGGGUUGUAAAGCCCUUUUGUUGGGAAAGAAAAGCAGCAGGUUAAUACCCCGCUGUUCUGACGGUACCCAAAGAAUAAGCACCGGCUAACUUCGUG